rnacentral:rRNA from 1 species
UACGGGGGGUGCAAGCGUUAUCCGGAUUCACUGGGUUUAAAGGGUGCGUAGGAGGGCAGGUAAGUCAGUGGUGAAAUCCCCGAGCUUAACUUGGGAACUGCCGUUGAUACUAUCUGUCUUGAAUAUUGUGGAGGUAAGCGGAAUAUGUCAUGUAGCGGUGAAAUGCUUAGAUAUGACAUAGAACACCAAUUGCGAAGGCAGCUUACUACACAACUAUUGACUCUGAUGCACGAAAGCGUGGGGAUCAAACAGG